UAUAAGAUAAAAUCUUCAUAAAAAAUGGCAAAACACAUUUCCCAGUACUGUCUCUUGGCAAUUUUAUGCAUUGCGUUGGUUCUAACUUUAGGACCAACACCAAGUUUGAGCAACUGCAUUUAUCCUAUGCUUUGUGAUAGCUUUGUUAUUUGCGACGCAAGGUGCCGCGGAUUCGGGUUUUUAAGAGGAGUAUGUUCUGACUUUCCGGGAACCAUGUCUUGUUGCUGUGUGCAAUGAAAUAAAUUACAUUAUUAUAAAUAUUUAUAUAUAAAUAUUUACUAAAGACGUCAUCAACUAAAUAAGAAACAUCUUUCUCCAAAGCUUUUAUUUAUAUAUGUUUGAAGCAUAUAUAUCAAAUAUGGGCAUAAGAAUAAGUGAAGAACUUGAAAGUAGUGUGGCCAAGCUCAAUGUGAAAGAAAGCAAGAAAGAGCAUAUAAUAGUGUGUUGGACCAAUAAAACGGAGUACUUGACAAAAAAGAAACAAAUCAGAUUUGGUGUAUUUUCAUCUUGUACAACCGAGCAUUUCCAUAAAUAAUAUCUAUAUACUAAAUGUGUGAAUUAGUUGAUAAAUUAAUAAGAUCUAAUGAUAUAUGUAUA